UACGUAGGGCGCAAGCGUUGUCCGGAAUUAUUGGGCGUAAAGAGCUCGUAGGCGGUUUGUCGCGUCUGCCGUGAAAGCCCGGGGCUUAACUCCGGGUCUGCGGUGGAUACGGGCAGACUAGAGGCAGGUAGGGGAGAACGGAAUUCCCGGUGUAGCGGUGAAAUGCGCAGAUAUCAGGAGGAACACCGGUGGCGAAGGCGGUUCUCUGGGCCUGUACUGACGCUGAGGAACGAAAGCGUGGGGAGCGAACAGG
rnacentral:rRNA from 1 species